rnacentral:ncRNA from 2 species
CUCUUAUCAAGAGAGGUGGAGGGAAAGAGCCCGAUGAAACCCGGCAACCUGUCCUUUUAAGGAUAAGGUGCCAAUUCUCUCAGAAGAUUUUUUCUUCUGAAAGAUGAGGG